AGAGUUUGAUCAUGGCUCAGGACGAACGCUGACGGUGUGCUUUAGGCAUGCAAGUCGAACGAGAAAGCCCUUCGGGGUGAGUAAAGUGGCGAACGGGUGAGUAACACGUGGGCAACCUGCCCCUCGCAGGGGGACAACCGGAGGAAACUCCGGCUAAUACCCCGUACGCUUGUUGGAUCGCAUGGUCCGGCAAGGAAAGGUAGCUUCGGCCAUCCGGCGAGGGAUGGGCCCGCGUUGCAUUAGCUAGUUGGUGGGGUAACGGCCUACCAAGGCGACGAUGCGUAGCUGGUCUGAGAGGAUGAUCAGCCACACUGGGACUGAGACACGGCCCAGACUCCUACGGGAGGCAGCAGCCAGGAAUCUUGGGCAAUGGGCGAAAGCCUGACCCAGCAACACCGUGUGGGCGAUGAAGGCCUUAGGGUCGUAAAGCCCUGUUGAUAGGGACGAAGGGCGAAGGGUUAAUAGCCCCUAGCUUGACGGUACCUUUCGAGGAAGCCCCGGCUAACUACGUGCCAGCAGCCGCGGUAAUACGUAGGGGGCGAGCGUUGUCCGGAAUUAUUGGGCGUAAAGAGCGUGUAGGCGGUUCGGUAAGUCUGCUGUGAAAUCCUGGGGCUCAACCCUGGGCGUGCAGCGGAUACUGCCGGGCUAGAGGGUGGUAGAGGCGAGUGGAAUUCCGAGUGUAGCGGUGAAAUGCGCAGAUAUUCGGAGGAACACCAGUAGCGAAGGCGGCUCGCUGGGCCACACCUGACGCUGAGACGCGAAAGCGUGGGGAGCGAACAGGAUUAGAUACCCUGGUAGUCC
rnacentral:rRNA from 1 species